GCAUCCUGUCAAAAGUACACUCACACAGGAGACUCAUCUGGACAGGAAGAAAAAGUGAAAAUAAGGAAGAGUGUGUCCUUUGAUGAUGAUGUCAUGGUCUACCUGUUUGAUCAGGAGAGCUCCACUCUGCAGAUGCACUCUGAACCCCACACGUCUCUGAUAAGCAGCUAUUCCUGCAACCUGCCAGGUGUCACAUUAGAAGAUAAUGCCUUGGAGUGGGAGGACGACUUUUCAGCUUUGGAGCAGACUGAAUGCCAUUUUCAGUAUGACGGGCGCUCUCAUCCCUACAGCCUUUCCUUGCAGACACAUAACCGGA